rnacentral:rRNA from 1 species
GACGAACGCUGGCGGCGUGCCUAACACAUGCAAGUCGAACGGAAAGGCCCUGCAUUUGUGGGGUGCUCGAGUGGCGAACGGGUGAGUAACACGUGAGUAACCUGCCCUUGACUUUGGGAUAACUUCAGGAAACUGGGGCUAAUAUCGGAUAGGAGAUCCUGCAGCAUGGUGGGGGUUGGAAAGUUUCGGCGGUUGGGGAUGGACUCGCGGCUUAUCCGCUUGUUGGUGGGGUAGUGGCUUACCAAGGCUUUGACGGGUAGCCGGCCUGAGAGGGUGACCGGCCACAUUGGGCCUGAGGUACGGCCCAGACUCCUACGUGGGGCAGCAGUGGGAAAUAUUGCCCAAUGGGCGGCAGCCUGAUGCAGCAACGCCGCGUGCGUGAUGACGGCCUUCGGGUUGUAAACCGCUUUCGCCUGUGACGCAGCGUGAGUGACGGUAAUGGGUAAAGAAGCACCGGCUAACUACGUG